rnacentral:rRNA from 1 species
UACGAAGGGGGCUAGCGUUGCUCGGAAUCACUGGGCGUAAAGCGCACGUAGGCGGCUCUUUAAGUCAGGGGUGAAAUCCUGGAGCUCAACUCCAGAACUGCCUUUGAUACUGGGGAUCUCGAGUCCGGAAGAGGUGAGUGGAACUGCGAGUGUAGAGGUGAAAUUCGUAGAUAUUCGCAAGAACACCAGUGGCGAAGGCGGCUCACUGGCCCGAUACUGACGCUGAGGCACGAAAGCGUGGGGAGCAAACAGG